rnacentral:tmRNA from 1 species
GGGGUUGACCGGUUUUGACAGCGAGCAGAAGAGGUUUGCAAGCAUGCAGUGCGUUGACGUUUUUUGCACUUUAAUCUCAAACGUCGAAUCAAUAACUGGCAAUAACAACUAUGCUCUUGUUGCGUAAUCGAAGUACAGUAGAUUAAUCGCUUAAUCCCGGCACAAGGUGUUGGGACAAGACAUCACCCGGAAGCUGUGGCUCCGAAGCAUUCCGAUAUGGUGGUGCAGAUAAAUCGGAGAUAGGAUAGGCGAUGCUUCGGCGUCUAUCCGAAAUAUAAGAAGCUAAGGAAAGAGGUUGGUAGCUUCAGCCGUUCUCUUUCCCUACAAUUAAAGUGAAGCUAAGCAUGUAGAAAGCAAAUGGCUUCCUCGUUUGGACGAGGGUUCGAAUCCCUCCAACUCCACAC